GACAGAGGGUGCAAACGUUGCUCGGAAUCACUGGGCGUAAAGGGCGCGUAGGCGGAUAGAUAAGUCGGGCGUGAAAUCCCUAGGCUCAACCUAGGAACUGCACUCGAAACUGUUUGCCUUGAGUACCGGAGAGGAAAGCGGAAUACCUGGUGUAGAGGUGAAAUUCGUAGAUAUCAGGUGGAACACCAGUGGCGAAGGCGGCUUUCUGGACGGUAACUGACGCUGAGGCGCGAAAGCGUGGGGAGCAAACAGG
rnacentral:rRNA from 1 species